rnacentral:rRNA from 1 species
AACUGAGUGGCGAACGGGUGAGUAACACGUGGGUGACCUACCUUCGAGUGGGGGAUAACGUCCCGAAAGGGACGCUAAUACCGCAUAACAUCCUUCCUUUGAACAGGGGGAGAUCAAAGCCGGGGAUCGUAAGACCUGGCGCUUGAUGAGGGGCCCGCGUCUGAUUAGCUAGUUGGUGAGGUAACGGCUCACCAAGGCGACGAUCAGUAUCCGGCCUGAGAGGGCGGACGGACACACUGGGACUGAGACACGGCCCAGACUCCUACGGGGGGCAGCAGUGGGGAAUUGUUCACAAUGGGCGCAAGCCUGAUGACGCAACGCCGCGUGGAGGAUGAAGGCCUUCGGAUUGUAAACUCCUGUUGCUCGGGACGAAAUGCUCCAACCUAAUACGUUGGAGUUUGACGGUACCGAGUGAGGAAGCCCCGGCUAACUCUGUGCCAGCAGCCGCGGUAAUACAGAGGGGGCAAGCGUUGUUCGGAAUUACUGGGCGUAAAGGGCGCGUAGGCGGCCUGUUAAGUCGAACGUGAAAUCCCCGGGCUCAACCCGGGAACUGCGUCCGAAACUGGCAGGCUCGAAUUCGGGAGAGGGAUGCGGAAUUCCAGGUGUAGCGGUGAAAUGCGUAGAUAUCUGGAGGAACAUCGGUGGCGAAGGCGGCAUCCUGGACCGAUAUUGACGCUGAGGCGCGAAAGCCAGGGGAGCAAACGGGAUU